ACGCUCGACACCUACGAGAGGCAGCAGUGGGGAAUAUUGCACAAUGGGGGAAACCCUGAUGCAGCGACGCCGCGUGGAGGAAGAAGGUCUUCGGAUUGUAAACUCCUGUUGUUGGGGAAAAAGAGGAUGGUACCCAACAAGGAAGUGACGGCUAACUACGCGCCAGCAGCCGCGGUAAUCUGAGCGGGCUGGCAAGGC
rnacentral:rRNA from 1 species